GAAAGGUACAGCAAUCUAAGCAGUCAGUGGAUGCGGGGAUGUGGGGGUGGAAAAUGAAAGCUGGCGAGUCGGCGAGCUGGCGAGUUUGUUGAUGUAAUUUUUCCUCUAUUGGUUGCUAUCGUUUCCAUAGGAUUGUUUAUUAUUGAUUCAUCAAGACCAUAAUAAGAAGGAAAACUCAAAGCAUUUGCAAUUUAGAGUUGCUUUCAUCCAGGGGACCAGCCAGAAGAGCAAAUGAAGGCUCUUACCCGUAGACACACGGCAAAGGUCUGUCGAUAGAAAAAGGAAGAUCGCCGAAAUUUCACGGUAUCGCGUACCAUCGGCUGAUCAACGGAAUUCAAAAGAUGAGGAGCUUUUAAAAUUAUCGACACUACCAUAAACUAACCAAAGUUCUUACUUUUUAGCAAAGAAAUUUAAUCGUAACAGUCAGAUCGCAAUGAAACACGACAUGACCUAUGAAUCUUUCGAGUAUGUACUGCGCUAGUUCUCACUCUGAACGGGAGCCGGUCACACGAUUAACUGUAACUGUAAUAUAUAUUACUCAAUAAAAUGGAAUUGAAUAUCUCGAA